rnacentral:rRNA from 1 species
GACGAACGCUGGCGGCGUGCCUAAUACAUGCAAGUCGAGCGGACUGAUUAAGAGCUUGCUCUUAUGACGUUAGCGGCGGACGGGUGAGUAACACGUGGGCAACCUGCCCUGUAGAUCGGGAUAACACCGAGAAAUCGGUGCUAAUACCGGGUAAUAUCUGAGAUCACAUGAUCUUAGGUUAAAAGAUGGCUCCGGCUAUCACUACAGGAUGGGCCCGCGGCGCAUUAGCUAGUUGGUAAGGUAAUGGCUUACCAAGGCGACGAUGCGUAGCCGACCUGAGAGGGUGAUCGGCCACACUGGGACUGAGACACGGCCCAGACUCCUACGGGAGGCAGCAGUAGGGAAUCUUCCGCAAUGGACGAAAGUCUGACGGAGCAACGCCGCGUGAGUGAUGAAGGGUUUCGGCUCGUAAAGCUCUGUUGUUAGGGAAGAAGCAGUACCGAACGAACUAGGUCGGUACCUUGACGGUACCUAACCAGAAAGCCACGGCUAACUACGUG